GCGCAUAGCUGACGAGGAAACGAAGUGGAUUUGGACCGUUCACACCAGGCAGGUUCAGCAGCACGCAUUGUUCUAAAAAUGAUUCUUUAUGAGGAGCUUCUCGCAGAGGUUGUCACUCAUUGAGCAACGCAGAGGACAGACUACCCUGCAAUGUCACUCAGACGGACGGACAUACUCUGUACAGCAUCCCUGAGUUUCACGCACUUGAUUGUGAAUACUUUUGGGCCAACAGCACUGAUCAUGUGCUGGCGAACAAAUUGGAACAGUUGCCCGAUGUGGUACAAGAACACACUGACCACAGCCUCAGGACCACUGAUUGCAUCAACGUCAUCAAGUACACACGAAAUUGUGUCUCUGAGGGGGUACAGAAGAUGGCCUCCUGCUUCACUGACUGUGCUGCUGACUCUCAGGACCUUACAGUGCAACCAUACAUGAUGAAUUCCACCACUGCUGUCAUACCUACUGUUUCCACAAGAGAUGGUGACCUGACACCUGUUUGGAUUGUGCUGUCAGUGCUGCUGGUACUCUUGGUGCUUUGUGGUCUGAUCUGGAGAAAGAAGAUAUGCAGAUGCUGCACCAGGAUGAUGAACGUCAAACAAAAUCCGAUGGUUAGAUACAAGGUAGCUCAUCAGAAUGAGCAGGAACAAAAUGUGGGAGAGAAUUUCCGAAAUGAAGUCGUUAUCAGCUCUUGAUGUAACUUUGGUACCAUCCAAAACCCCUUAAUUAAUGCAGUACUUUAGCAUUUAUAUACAGUUGUGCUCAGCACCAUGCAUUCUUGCCACUGACAGUUCCAUAUUUGUGAUGUCAAUGUACAUGUUAAUGCAGUGGGGCUUGUGAACUGUAUGCGGAGGUUUCAAGCGUAAGGACAGCAUCUUUUUGGCAGCAGUGAUUCCUGUUAUGAGUGUACAUCUCUUCAAACAUGACAACUCUAGUGAAGUGGUUUCAUUCAAAAGUAACACAGUGGGAGAACAUCCAGUACAACGGAAAGAGCAGCACAGACCUCACCCCCAAAAAAGCCUCACGUCUUUACAUUCCCAGUACAUGUGCAUGUAUGAGCCUAUAAGUCCAUCUGAGCGGAAUCUGUUCUGAAAAUUAACUGAUACAAUCUGUGGAGAAGCUACUGAUGAAAUUCACAGAUGAAUUCAGCCUCAAGCUUCAGCUGUUAAACUGAACGUACAAGUCUCCAGAAUAUGAGACGGUGACUACGUUUACAUGCAGCCAAUAACCCUUUCAUAACCGGAAUAUUAGCAAUAACCUGGUUGCGCACGGCCAUGUAAACACCCGCAAAAACCC